ACGCUGGCGGCGUGCCUAACACAUGCAAGUCGAACGGGGUUGCGGGAGCUUGCUUCUGCAGCUUAGUGGCGAACGGGUGAGUAACGCGUGAGGAACCUGCCUUUCAGUGGGGGGACAACAGUUGGAAACGACUGCUAAUACCGCAUAAUGUGCUUAGGGGGGCAUCCCUUGAGUAUCAAAGCUUUAUGUGCUGAAAGAUGGCCUCGCGUCUGAUUAGCUAGUUGGUGGGGUAACGGCCUACCAAGGCGACGAUCAGUAGCCGGACUGAGAGGUUGAACGGCCACAUUGGGACUGAGAUACGGCCCAGACUCCUACGGGAGGCAGCAGUCGGGAAUAUUGCGCAAUGGAGGAAACUCUGACGCAGUGACGCCGCGUAUAGGAAGAAGUUUUCGGAAUGUAAACUAUUGUUGUUAGGGAAGAGAAAGGACGGUACCUAAGGAGGAAGCCCGGCUAACUAUGUG
rnacentral:rRNA from 1 species